UCUUUACCAUCUUCUAAAUAUAAGUUAUUACCUCUUACAUUAUGCCCUGGGAAGUAGUCAUAGCUUCUGAUCUGUCAAUGAGCCUGCAUUUCGGUUGGCAGAUGAUUGUUUGAUCCUGUGGCCCAGAUAAAGAAGUCAUCUGUCCUGUAACCAAACUGUACCCAGAGCUGGUCAGAAGGUAAAAGCUGAAUAAAAGUUUUGUUUUCAAUAGUAAGUGGAGUUUUUUUGAACUGAAAUUUUCAUAGCAACACAUCUGAUUCCAAAACCAGAUCUUACGGCUAAGAUUGCCGUGGCUACGAUGGAUCUUGGUCAAAUGAGGACAUCAGAGUCAAGUCAGCAGCCUGGAGGUCACACACACCUGUGAGCACCCGACCACCAAGUCAGUAGCUGGCCACCAACCUAGUAAAUCUCCAGAAGUAUUUGCUUUCCCAUUGCAUUUUUUUUUCAGGGGGGUGGGGGAGGGAGGGAAAUCCACAGAUAACCUUUUGUUUUUCUAAACUAUUGUAGAAUGAAUUCCUGUUGUCUUGUCACUCCUCAUUCAGAAUCCCUUUCCUGACCCCUCUCUCUCUCUUUCUUUCAGUGUCACCUUCCCGUUUCCUCUAAAGGCUUCCCUAUAGCUGGGAUGGAGACUCAGGCUUACAUCCCGUCACAUCUUUGCUGGUUCGGUAUCUCACAAGAGACCUUUGUAAAGUCUGCUUAUGGUCAUGCAAUAAGGUUUUGAAAGUUGAGUGCCUAGCACCUGGCGGGGCUGCCUUGAUGGAGCUCUUGCUUCCUCCCAGGAUGGCACCGCGUCUGCUAUGGCUGUGGGCAGUGUCACCAAAGCUCACCUUUUCCAUGGCUGACUCAUGACCACUGCAUCAGCUGAGAGCAGCAAGAGGUCCUGGAGAGGCAGAAGCUCCAUCACACCAGUGUGCUAUAUGUGUGUGUAUCCACUCCAUCCUUUCUUUGAAGAUUUCCUGAACCCUUUGAGGAACUUCCCUGCAGGUCGACCCUCCUUGCUUCCAAUGAUGCUCCAUGGCUGUCCUGUGAACCAGGACAGGGUCUGAGGAAAGGCUAAGAUGAAAACAGUUUUUGGAAUCCCUAAAGACUAUGUAUCUAACUGCAGCCGGCAAAUACAAUUUCUCCCCUUAAGCCCUGAAGCUCAGCAACAAUGUUGUUUCAAGCACCUGGAAGCCAAGAACAGUGCUUCUGAAAGGUCCUAAAUGAUGUAAAGAUUGAGGAUUCAGGAGGGACUCCUGUCUAUUUCCACGAGGGCGUUGCUGGAGACAUGUAAAAGCAACUCCAGAAAGACUGGACUUGUAGCCAGAUGGGAUGACAGGUGGGUACCUUUUUUAAGAUUGCCAUGGUUCUAUAAAUGGUCUUAAAAAGAAAACUCUGAAUCUGUGAAAUGUGGCGGGUUCAUUAAACAUCUGGAAGUACUCUCAUGGCUGUCAUCACUUGCUUUCAAGACAGUGAAAAACUAGGCUGUAUGAUUUCUUGAUAUUCAUACAAGGAAUACCUAGUAGCAUCAUGGUUGGAGCAAGUGUUCACAAUGCCUGUGGUACCAGUGUCCCCAUGGAAAAUCAAAGGGAAGAACACAGUGACAACAGUGAUUUUAAACCAAGUAAAAAACCCAAACCCAAAACAAAGAGGUAUUUCAGGGGAAGAAUCUUCUCUGCAUUUUAAUAGAUGUGCUGCAUUCACACAGCACGCAGCCUCCAGCGUUAGCACCGGCACUGCGGCAGUGCCCGGCAUUUUCUAGGACCUCCUUUUCACACGCAUCAUUCGUAUAGAUAGCAGCUCUACUUGUCACAGUCCUGAAGUUCUACAACAUCGGGGUGAGAUCCCUGAGGAAAGGAUACUGAACAGAGGAGGAGGAUUGCAAAAGAAUGUGACUGCGAGUGUGUGCCAGAGAAAUGGGAGAGAGUGCUGGAGUCUGCACGUGUUCAGGAAGACGAAGGCAGAAGAGCCUGCCAUGGGGGACCACAGCCACAGUGUCCUGGCUUGUGACAUUCAGUUCCAGACUUCCCUGCGCAUGGAGUGCCAGCCAAAAGCAGGAGCAGCACCACCAGCAGCCGCAUUUGAAGCAGCCGCGUGGUGUUGAGCACGUGAGGAGUGAGAGGCGCUGGGCAAAGGCUGCACCCUCCGAUGUGUCCUCCAUCCUGGGACCCAGAUGGAAUUUCAAUGAAAGGAUGAAGACAUUGCCCACAGGUUUGACCCACGGCUGCUAUUGCUCAUGCUGGGAGCAGCAGGAAAACGGAACGAGGGCUGGCAGCGUGGUUCUUAGCACUGAAGUAAAUUUAACAGCUCUGUGUAUUUGUUACCUGCAAAUUUUCUGAGGGCUUACUCCACUUCUGUUUUUUUGGUUUACUUUUUUUAGGGGAAUAUACAUGUCGGGAGAGUACUCAAAGCCCAAAAGCAUUUGAGAGACAGUUGGUUGGCAUUUAGGUGUCUGAGAGAUGGGGUUAACCAUUGAUGGGUUCUGCCUCCUGAGGCUUUAGUCUUUACCCACCCCCAGAAAAGCACAAGGCAAAGCAACUCCACAUGAGGGCUGAGAGCGUUUUCAUGCUGUGAGACUUCAUUAGGGGCUUGUGUUGUAAUUUGUGUUUAAUUUGUAGAAAGGCAAGCUGUAAGGAUCCUUCUUAGCAUGCUAGGUAUAGACUGUCUACAUGUAAUGCAAAAGAGAAGAAAAUGUAUACAAGAUCAAGGGCAACUAGAGUAUACAAGGAAACUGUGUUAAAUUAGGAAACACAUCUAGGUCAAGAAAGGGUUUCAAUGGAUUGGAAAAAUGAGGGAAAGAAGAUUUACAAGACACAAAUAAUUAUCAAGUGAAUUUUUUGGCAUGUGGACACUCUCAGGAGAGAGUCGGUCCAAUAGCUAUUUGAACUAAAGUCAGCCAGUUUUUGCUAUAUGAGCAGUGUAGCAGUGAGGAUCAUUUUUACAGGCCAGAGGGAGGAAAUGAGAAGAUUAUAUAUAAAUCAACAGAAUUGGAAAAAUGUAAUAAUACAGAAUUCUGACAAAUACUGUUUUAAAAUACAUUCACUUAUUUAAAAGCCCUUACCAAAGCUGCAUAUAAACUUAUAAGCUACCAAGAGUAUGAAUAAAAGGCUCUGGGGUUUUACUCAUAAAAAUGUGCUGACAUAGAUGGGUCAAAUUUUUUUCCAUUAAGUUUAAUGGUAGAAUCAAAAUGUACAUCCAUGCAUGGCUUGAAAAGAAAAAUGUCCAAUUUGUGAAGUCUGGUACCAGCCAGUGAACGAGAUUAAGCAAAUGAGAACUUAACAUAGGGGAAAGCUCCUGGUUUUCUGCCAUAAAAAAGAGUGAUAAUACUGUCAGCAGCAAAUGUGAUGCUAUUUUCCAGUGGAUGCUAGACCUAUUGCAUCGCAUUUACUAUGGCAAUGCAAAGUUGUUGACAAAGAUAUACACAUUUCCUUCCUCCUGAAUUUAUUUUCUUUACUGUGUUUAUUUUUUAAACAAAAAUGUCACUUGCAGAUAAGAAAAAGAAAUGGAACGAGAGUAAAAGAGGCAGUCAGGCACCUCAACUUAGCCCUUCUCUAAUUUUUUUUUUUUAGCAUAAAUGGACCUGAUCACAAAAUGCUAGUUUGAUUUUAGUUACCCUAAAGGCUUGUGGCUAUAAAGAGCUGGAGUGUUUGCUCUGACCCAGUCGUACCCUUUACUUUGUGAUCUCUGGAAAACAUACGGGCAUGACUAAACAACAAGCGCAGACAAUGAUGCCUGCUCCACCCUGAGACCUACCUGACUAGACGUAAGCCCGCUUUAGACCAAAACCUGGGUAGCCACAUUAAAGCCAUCACAUUUCCUUGGGUGUAUAUAAGUGCAUCUACUUUGCUUUCAAAGAAGAUGUAGUUUAUGGCUGGCUAAGCCAGAAGAUAAGUCAAACUAUGACUGCAUCAGUUCGUGUAGACUCACUUUUGGAAGAACAUAUCGAUGGGAGCUAUUAUUCGUGGUGCCACCAGUUUUACAGCUUAAAAUUGCUUUUAAUUUUUUUAAAAUGAAGGAACACAAUAACAAGUUCUAUAGCAAGUGUGUAAGACUAUACACACUGCUUGAAGGACAAGCAUUUAUUUAGCUACUAUAAUGCUAGCAAUUAAAAUAGAUGUUCAGCCCAGCUUUAAACCUGGGAGUAUAAUUAUGAUAUUCAAAGUCCUCAGUAAGACA